CUCAGAUCAUGUAAGAUUUUAAUGAUCGAACAGAUCAAAAUUUUAAACUUUUGCAUUUAAAUUUUAUCUUAAUCCAACAUCGAGGUCGCAAACUUUUUUUUUUAUUUGUACUAAAAAAAAAUAUUACGCUGUUAUCCCUAAGGUAAUUUUUUCUUAUAAUCAUUAUUAAUGGAUCAUUUAAUCAUUUAUUUAUGUUUAAUUUUUAAAAAAAGUUAAUUUAAUUUUUCUAUCACCCCAAUAUAAUAAUUAAUUUUAUUUCAAUAAAAAUUUUUAUAUAAUUUUAAAAUAAAAAUAAAUAUAAAACUCUAUAGGGUCUUCUCGUCUUUUAAAAUUAAUUUAGCUUUUUAACUAAAAAAUAAACUUCUAAAAAUAAAUAAGAGACAGUUUAUAUUUCAUCAAAUCUUUCAUACAAGUUUUCAAUUAAAAAACUAGUGAUUAUGCUACCUUUGUACAGUCAUUAUACUGCAGCCCUUUAAUUAUUAUCAGUGGGCAGAUUAGACCUUAAAUUAUAUUCAAAAAGACAUGUUUUUG
rnacentral:rRNA from 1 species